UAGUAAAAUGAUGCUCUACCAUCUUUCGGGACUGACUUCAUAAUGGAGAAACUUUGACUUGUUACUGAUUGCUA
ensembl:snoRNA